rnacentral:rRNA from 1 species
AUUUGUGGUCAAGCUACUAAGGGCUUAUGGUGGAUGGCUAGGCGGAAGGAGGCGAUGAAGGACGUGGUAAGCUGCGAUAAGCUCCGGGGAGUCGCAAACAGGCGUUGAUCCGGAGAUCUCCGAAUGGGGAAACCCAUCCCAGGUUAUGCGGGGAUAUCUCUUGCUGAACCCAUAGGCAAGAGAGGCUAACCAGGGGAAGUGAACCAUCUCAGUACCCUGAGGAAAAGAAACCGAAUGGGAUUCCCCCAGUAGCGGCGAGCGAAAAGGGAACAGCCUAAACCCUGAUAAUGUAAAAGGCUAUGCCCGUUGUUAUCAGGGGGUUGCGGGAUUUAUCCGGAAGAAGGCAUAGCUUCUUCGGGAAGUUACCAAUCCUAUCUUUAGUCGAAUACCUUGGAAAAGGUAGCCAAAGAAGGUGAAAGCCCUGUAGACGAAAAAGAUAGGACUUCCUGGGAUAAAUCCCGAGUACUACGGGACACGGGAAACCCCGUAGGAAGCGGGCCUGACCACAGGCCAAGGCUAAAUACUCCCUUCCGACCGAUAGUGGACUAGUACCGUGAGGGAAAGCUGAAAAGUACCCCGGUGAGGGGAGUGAAAUAGUACCUGAAACCAUAAGCUUACAAGCGGUCGGAGCCUCGACGGCAACGUCGGGGUGACGGCGUACCUUUUGCAUAAUGAGCCGGGGAGUUACUCCUGUACAGCGAGCUUAACCUCGCUAAGCGAGGGUAGGCGUAGGGAAACCGAGUCCUAACUGGGCGCUAAGUUGUACAGGGUAGACCCGAAGCUGGGGUGAUCUACCCAUGGCCAGGGCGAACCUCGAGUAACAUCGAGGGGAGGUCCGAACCCGUCACUGUUGAAAAAGUGUGGGAUGAGCUGUGGGUAGGAGUGAAAGGCUAAACAAACCCAGGGAUAGCUGGUUCUCCCCGAAAUAACUUUAGGGUUAGCCUCGAGAUUGGAAAGUGGGGGUAGAGUACUCGAUGGGCUAGGGACCUCACCAGGUUGCCAAACCCAACGAAACUCCGAAUACCACUUUUCCGUAUCUCGGGAGUCAGUCUACGGGCGAUAAGGUCCGUGGUCGAGAGGGGAACAACCCAGACCACCAGCUAAGGUCCCUAAAUGCAGGCUAAGUGGAAAAGGAUGUGAAAUCGCGUAGACAACCGGGAUGUUGGCUUAGAGGCAGCCAUCAUUUAAAGAGUGCGUAACAGCUCACCGGUCGAUUACCCCACACCCAGCUUGCUGGGUGUGGGGUGCGAUUUCGCGCCGACAAUAAUCGGGGCUAAGCCUGCUACCGAAGCUGUGGACUACCACAUCUGUGGUAGUGGUAGGGGAGCAUUCCACCGCGGUGAAGUUCUGACGUAAGUCAGGAUGGAGCGAGUGGAAGAGAGAAUCCCGGUAUAAGUAGCGAAAAAACCCGCGAGAAACGGGUUCGCCGAAAGUCUAAGGUUUCCUGGGGAAGGUUAAUCCGCCCAGGGUUAGUCGAGCCUAAGCUGAGGCCGAAGGGCGUAAGCGAUGGACAGCCGGUUAAUAUUCCGGCACCACUUCUUUGGUAUCCGCGCAAGCGGUAAACCUAAGGGUGACGCAGGAAGCUAAGCCAGCUCCGUGCAGACUUACGGAGUCCAAACCUGUAGUCCUGCUGAAAAACGGGAUGAGGGGUGUAAGGGAGCUCGAUCUACGGAGAGAGCGAACUGGCUGAGGCUAUACUGCCGAGAAAGAACCCUGAUGGUGACACCAAAGAGGUGCUCGUACCGCAAUCCGACACAGGUAGACUGCCAGAAUAUGGUAAGGCGCUCGAGAGAACCCUCGUCAAGGAACUCGGCAAAAUGGCCCCGUAACUUCGGAAGAAGGGGUGUCUCGCUGCUUGUAGUCUCUUGCAGACGAAGGGCAGUGGGAUCGCAGUUAAGAGGCCCAUGUGACUGUUUAGUAAAAACACAGGUCUCUGCAAAGUCGUAGAUUCAAGACGACGUAUAGGGACUGACACCUGCCCAAUGCCGGAAGGUUAAGGGGAGAGAUUACUCUCCGGUGUUUCAUCGGAGGGGAAGUCUCAAACCGAAGCCCCGGUGAAUGGCGGCCGUAACUAUAACGGUACGACCAGGAAGCAGUCCUGGAAGGGCCGUUGUAAAAUCUGGCUAUAUGCUGGGACGUCUGAGAAUCCGGCAUUACCGAGGAGGUGAAAAAAUGUCCGGUGCAGACAAUCAGCAGGAAAGACUGCCUCAAGACGAAAGGUUCCAGUGGUUCCUGGCGGGGAUAAUUGAGGGUGAGGGAAGCGUAACAGUUUCCAUUAAGGCUCAUCCGUCGGCAAAGUUUGGUUAUUAUGUAGAUCCGGAAUUCUUCCUCUACCAAAAGGUAGAAGGAAGGAAGAUUUUGGAGAUGGCAAAAAAGUUUUUUGGAACAGGCCGGAUCUAUCCCAAACCAGGAAAUGAAGAGGUUUUGGUUUUUGCUAUCACUAACCGACGGAGCCUUAAGGAAAAAGUUCUUCCCUUUUUAAAGAAAUAUAUGGUUUAUUCUCCCCGCAUAGAAAAAUAUAAGAUCUUCACGGAGAUAGUCGAAGAUAUGGAAAAUCGGAAACACUGGACGCCUCAGGGGCUGGCGCGCAUUGUCGAGAAGGCAUAUGCGCUGAAUCCAGACUCCAAAGGGAAGGAAAGAAAGAGAGAGUUGGAAGAAGUCUUGGGCAGAAUCCUCAGAGACCAUACGCCAGAUGCAUUCCGAGAAUAAAGAGGAAUGCAAAGAUAUGGUCCAGUCUUUAUGGCGACAUAAAGGAAACUGCCUAAGGUAGCGAAAUUCCUAGUCGGGUAAGUUCCGACCCGCACGAAUGGUGUAACAACAUGGGCGCUGUCUCGACGGGGGGCUCGGCGAAAUUGUAGUAGCGGUGAAGAUGCCGCUUACCCGCAGGUAGACGAAAAGACCCCGGAACCUUUACUGUACCCUGGUAUGGGAUUUUGGUCCGAUAUGUGUAGGAUAGGUGGGAGGCUGUGAAGUCCCGACGCUAGUUGGGAUGGAGCCGACGGUGAAAUACCACUCUUAUCGUACUAAAGUCCUAACCCCGACCUCUGAAGCGAGGCGGGGGACAGUGCCAGGCGGGCAGUUUAACUGGGGCGGUUUCCUCCUAAAGAGUAACGGAGGAGUCCAAAGGUUCCCUCAGUGCGGUCGGCAAUCGCACGUUGAGUGCAAAGGCAUAAGGGAGCUUGACUGCGAGUCCGACAGGACGAGCAGGGGAGAAAUCCGGGCUUAGUGAUCCGGCGGUGCUGUGUGGGAAGGCCGUCGCUCAACGGAUAAAAGGUACUCCGGGGAUAACAGGCUUAUCGGUCCCGAGAGUUCACAUCGACGGACCGGUUUGGCACCUCGAUGUCGGCUCAUCGCAUCCUGGGGCUGGAGAAGGUCCCAAGGGUCCGGCUGUUCGCCGGUUAAAGCGAUACGUGAGCUGGGUUUAGAACGUCGUGAGACAGUUCGGUCUCUAUCUCCUGUGGGCGUAGGAUACCUGAGGGGGGUUCUCCCUAGUACGAGAGGACCGGGAGGAACGAACCUCUGGUGUACCAGCUGUUCCGUCCGGAGCAUAAGCUGGGUAGCUAUGUUCGGUUGGGAUAACCGCUGAAAGCAUCUAAGCGGGAAGCCCGCCCCAAGACUAGGUAUCCCUGAAGGCAUCCCGGAGACUACGGGUUCGAUAGGUCCCAAGUGUAAGCGCCGUAAGGCGUUGAGCUUAGGGAUACUAAGGAAGCCGUUUGGCUUGACCAC